UCUAUUAUAAAAAAGUUAAUAGGUAGGGAAAAAAUUUGCUAAACCUAGUACACAGAAAACUCUUAAUAUCAAGUAGUUCAAAACAUCAGUUAACAUGAAUCAUUCGUUUUAUAAUAUAAGGUGGAGACCAUUACAAGCGAACCAUAUAUUCCCUCACACACCGCAUGAGCAGAUUAGUGUCACACACAGGAGUUCAUAUGAUAAAUAGGGAUGGUAGAAUACUAAUUUGCCAAAAGCCAGAAGUUUAUAAGCCCAGAGAACUUUCCACGUCCACUUUGAUUCAUUUUCCUUCUGGAACAUCACCAAUCUCGCCUUCCUUUUGGUCAUUGGAACUUAGAAUCCUCUCUCCAACUUGGCGGUUUAAGGGUAUCAGGAUUGAUGCAAAACCAUAAUAUGUUUCCAGUCAAAAUAGGUUAUAACUUGAUCCACGUUUCUGAGUUGUUUUGACCAAGUUAAUUCUUGUGCAUAACCAUCUGAUCACAAAUAUUGAAUUCUAAAUCACGAUCUCAAACAUUCGUCAUGUCCAGCAGAGAUUCUGUGAUUCCACUGUAACUACACCAGUGAGCUAACUCAGAAGCCAACAUCUCAAAACACCAACUCCACACCUACAAGUCAGCGAGUCAGUGACAGGACGAUGUGUUUAGCUGUUAAAAUGUGGGUGCAUGGAGUACUGUUUAUAUCGAGUCGGUUCGGUUCACAUAAUCUUCUAUUUAACCAUUUCCCUGUGCAAAUUCUAAAAUCAAAUUCA
rnacentral:lncRNA from 1 species